GACGAACGCUGGCGGCGUGCCUAAUACAUGCAAGUCGAACGCUUCUUUCCUCCCGAGUGCUUGCACUCAAUUGGAAAGAGGAGUGGCGGACGGGUGAGUAACACGUGGGUAACCUACCCAUCAGAGGGGGAUAACACUUGGAAACAGGUGCUAAUACCGCAUAACAGUUUAUGCCGCAUGGCAUAAGAGUGAAAGGCGCUUUCGGGUGUCGCUGAUGGAUGGACCCGCGGUGCAUUAGCUAGUUGGUGAGGUAACGGCUCACCAAGGCCACGAUGCAUAGCCGACCUGAGAGGGUGAUCGGCCACACUGGGACUGAGACACGGCCCAGACUCCUACGGGAGGCAGCAGUAGGGAAUCUUCGGCAAUGGACGAAAGUCUGACCGAGCAACGCCGCGUGAGUGAAGAAGGUUUUCGGAUCGUAAAACUCCGUUGUUAGAGAAGAACAAGGACGUUAGUAACUGAACGUCCCCUGACGGUAUCUAACCAGAAAGCCACGGCUAACUACGUGCCAGCAGCCGCGGUAAUACGUAGGUGGCAAGCGUUGUCCGGAUUUAUUGGGCGUAAAGCGAGCGCAGGCGGUUUCUUAAGUCUGAUGUGAAAGCCCCCGGCUCAACCGGGGAGGGUCAUUGGAAACUGGGAGACUUGAGUGCAGAAGAGGAGAGUGGAAUUCCAUGUGUAGCGGUGAAAUGCGUAGAUAUAUGGAGGAACACCAGUGGCGAAGGCGGCUCUCUGGUCUGUAACUGACGCUGAGGCUCGAAAGCGUGGGGAGCAAACAGG
rnacentral:rRNA from 1 species